rnacentral:rRNA from 1 species
CCGCGAACGGGUGAGUAACACGUGGGUUACCUACCCCGAUGAUUGGGACAACCCGAGGAAACUCGGGCUAAUACCAAAUGUGCUCCUGGCCGUAAUGGCCUUGAGGAAAGGAAGCUUCGGCCUCCGCAUCGGGAUGGGCCCGCGGCCCAUUAGCUAGUUGGUGGGGUAACGGCCUACCAAGGCGACGAUGGGUAGCUGGUCUGAGAGGACGAUCAGCCACACUGGGACUGAGACACGGCCCAG